AUUGCAUCUCGGCCUUUUGGCUAAGAUCAUGUGUAGUAUCUUAUUAGUUUAAUAAGUUAGAGGCCUAAAAAGUAAAAAGUCUGGGUGCCWCACUUAUCUAGGAUAGAAGGCUUAAGGUGGAGCUAAGUCCUCACUUCAACUUUGUGUCAAGAAUGCAAAAGCUAUUCCAAAAAGUUGCACUUUGCCCUCUCUCUGA